UAAUAAUGAUAAGGGUAAUUUUUGAGCAUAUACUUGAAUAUUUACCAAGCUUGGUAAAUAUUCUUUCCAUCUUUCUACCUAAAACUCAGAAUCUCAUUUCUUAAAUG
rfam:Capsicum annuum cultivar Zunla-1 chromosome 4, whole genome shotgun sequence